rnacentral:rRNA from 1 species
GCUUGCUCCUGGUGGCGAGUGGCGAACGGGUGAGUAACAUAUCGGAACGUAUCCAAUAAUGGGGGAUAACUAAUCGAAAGGUUGGCUAAUACCGCAUACGCCCUACGGGGGAAAGCAGGGGAUCUUCGGACCUUGCGUUGAUGGAGCGGCCGAUAUCUGAUUAGCUAGUUGGUGGGGUAAAGGCCCACCAAGGCGACGAUCAGUAGCUGGUCUGAGAGGACGACCAGCCACACUGGAACUGAGACACGGUCCAGACUCCUACGGGAGGCAGCAGUGGGGAAUUUUGGACAAUGGGCGCAAGCCUGAUCCAGCCAUUCCGCGUGAGUGAAGAAGGCCUUCGGGUUGUAAAGCUCUUUCGCAAGGGAAGAAACGAUACUGGUGAAUAUCCAGUGUUAAUGACGGUACCUUGAUAAGAAGCACCGGCUAACUACGUGCCA